rnacentral:rRNA from 1 species
AUGGGCUCCUUGCUGAUGCCGCUGCUGAGCAGCGUGGCAGCCAAGGUGGGCGACGUGCUGGUGGGUGAGCUGCUGCGGGCGUGGGGGCUGGACGCGGCCCACCGGAAGCUGGAGCGCCACCUCGCGGCCGUCCAGCACAUCCUGCUGGACGCCGAGGCGAAAAGCCGCACCAACCCCGCCGUCCGCCAGUGGGUCAGCGACCUCAAGACGGCCGCCUACCAGGCCGACGACGUCCUCGACAACUUCCGCUACGAGGCGCUGCGCCGCCGCGCACAGACCCGCCGCUCCAUGCCCACGACGCGCAAGGUGCUAAGCUACUUCACCGUUGAUAGUCCCAUAGUUUUCCGUUUUUCCAUGAGUAGGAAGAUGAAGGAUGUCCUUGAAAAGAUAGAUGAGCUGGUUGUGGAGAUGAACAAUUUUCACUUCCUUACGCAUACCAAGACACCAAGCAUUGUUCACCCGCAAACACACUCUCGUGUUGAUGAAUCAGAGAUUGUAGGCAAACUACAUGAGAAGGAACAGGUGGUGAAGAUAUUGCUCGAGUACCAAUGUGACAACAAUAAUGUCAUGGUCCUCCCAAUAGUUGGCAUGGGGGGCAUUGGCAAGACCACCCUUGCUCAACUCGUGCACAAUGAUCAGAGAGUGAUGCAUCAUUUUGAUUUGGUCAUAUGGAUCUGUGUCUCUGACCAGUUCGUCGUUGAAGAAAUAAUUCGAUCUAUUAUAGAAGUGGCCACGAUGAAGAAGUGUGAAUUGAUUGAGAUGGAGGCACUGCAAAAGAAACUUAGCCAAGUGUUGGGCAAGAAAAGGUACCUCCUAGUUAUGGACGAUGUUUGGAAUGAAGAUAGACAAAAGUGGGAUGGUCUGAGAUUAUUACUAUGCUCAGAUGCUGGCUCAGGUAGUGCUAUAAUUGUGACAAGCCGCAGCAACCAAGUUGCUUCUGUCAUGGGAACAAUUCGUUCACAUCAGAUAUCACUUCUGAAUGAGGAUCAAUCAUGGGAGCUUUUCCACAGGAAUGCAUUUGUAGGGGAAGUGGAAAAGCAAGAUGAACUGAUUUUAAUGGCUAGGAACAUUGUCCAGAAGUGUAAGGGGUUGCCUCUUGCUAUCAAGACCAUUGCAGCUUUACUUCGUAUGGAGCAUCACAAUGAGUGGUUUUCUAUUCUGGAUAGUGAUGUCUGGAAGAAUGAGAUCCUCAGAACUGGGUUUAUACCUGCAUUACAGCUAAGCUACGAUCACUUGUCACCCGAAGCAAAAAUAUGUUUUUCCUUCUGUGUUAUUUUCCCGAAGGGUAGCAUGCUCGAUAAAGACAUGUUGAUCCAAUUAUGGCUUGCCAAUGACUUUAUUGCAUCAGAAACAAGGGGCCAACAAAUUUUUGAAGUGUUGGUUUGGAGAUGUUUCCUCCAAGAUGUGAAAACUCAAGAGAAUCUGCUCUCAGGAUUUCGAGAUGAGUACAUCCACAGACCAACUGCAUGCAAGAUGCAUGAUCUCAUGCAUGAUCUUGCUGAGUCCGUAAGCCAAAAUGAUUGCACAAUUCUUCAAAAGUAUUCACCUAAUGAAAGUAUGCAAGGAUCCACACAUGAUAGUUUAUUACUACGUGAUGUUCGACAUUUGUCACUUGUUUCUAUCAAUAAUACUAGAGCAGCCAUGAAGGAUAUUAUAGCUCCCCGCACAAUAAUAUUCCAAAAGGAGUGGUUUGGGACUCCUCUGAUUAUGGCAGAGUCAAAAUUCAUGUCCUUACGAGCAUUGAAGGCCUUCUCAAUCAAGACACGUAUGACAAACUUGAAGCAUCUUCGCUAUCUAGAUUGUUCUUAUUCUCUUAUACGUGCCCUGCCAGAAGCCACUUCCAUGUUGUAUAGCUUGCAAACUCUAAAGCUCAUUGGUUGUCAAAAUCUCAAGAAAUUACCAGAAGGGAUGAGAUGCAUGAUCAAUCUUCGGCACAUCUUCCUCAUUGGGUGUUAUUAUUUGGAGCACAUGCCAAAGGGUAUUGGUCAGCUAAGUUAUCUGCAGACAUUGACCAAUUAUGUCAUUGAUAGUGACACAAGUCGUGGAAUCGAUCAACUAAAAGAUUUGAAUCUUGGUGGGGCUCUUUCUUUGAUUGGGCUGAGAAAAGUGCACAGCGCAGAAAAUGCUAAAGAAGGAAAUAUUUCUGCCAAGCAUAAUUUGAAAUGUCUAUCACUCGAUUGGUAUGGACCUUAUAGCACACAUGUUGGAGAUGAAGUACAUAAUGCAGAAGGAAUAUUAGAGGCCCUUCAUCCUCCCAAAAGACUUCAAGUUUUACAGUUAUCUAAUUAUACUGGUGCUCAAUUAUCAUUGUGGAUGCAUGACUCUAUACUGUUAGAACAUCUCAGUGAACUUUCUCUGAGUAGCUGCAAGAACAUCAAGGAUCUUCCACCAUUAUGGCAGCUGCCCUCCCUCGUGUACUUGAGUUUGGAUGGUCUGCAUGACUUGACACGUAUAUGCAUUGGUAAUGUUGCAGACAAUGGGGAAUCAUGUAUGUCCCCACCGCUCUUUCCUAAAUUGGAAACCAUGAAAGUUUCCAGCAUGCCUAAGCUAGAGAGAUGGCACCAGGAGGCGACAGGGCAAGUAGCAGUCAUAUCAUUCCCUCAGCUCAAGAAGCUAAAGAUUUCUGAGUGUCCAAUGUUAGCAAGCAUGCCCAGGAUGCUCCCUUUGCUUGAAGAUCUAGAGGUGAGGUGGACAACAAAGAUCCCCUUUUACCACACGAUGAAUCAGUGUGUGCAAUCAAAUCUUGAGUGCAAAGGCUACAUUGAAGUGGAACCUGCUGGUUGGCUGAUGAGGGACAUCCAUUUAUCGAGGUUUCGUGACUCUGAUGUGUCACUGAAAUUAAAAGAUCUCGUGGAACAUGCAGAGCACUUUGAAGAGGAACUCAAGAGAAUACCUUGCAGAUUUAUUAAGAAGAUGAAGAUAAUAGACUGCAACUGUCUUUUCUCAUUUGAACCAUCCCAAAUACAGCGAAAUAUAUGGAAUCGUUUUGUCUUUGUUGAAGAUCUGUGGAUUAUAGGCUGCAGCAAUAUAGUACAAUGGCCAACAGUGGAAUUCAGAAACUUGAAUUAUCUUCAAUCUCUGCACUUGAGUAAUUGUUCGAACUUAACGGGCUCACUUCCAUCAACAUCCGAUGCUGAAAAUGUCCUGCCUCCUCGACUCAAAAAGCUUGCAAUUGUAAGCUGUGAAAAUAUGAUGGAAGUGCCAAAGUUGCCUGUGUCUCUUGAAGAAUUGCACAUAGCUUAUUGCCACAAGCUGGUAACGGUGCCAACAAUUCUUGGGAACGCCAGAAAUCUGAGAAGACUUUUUCUGGCCAAGUGCGACGCCCUGACGACGGCAGUUCCAGAUGGAAUGUAUAGACCCACUGCGCUCAAGGAGCUGAAUAUUUCUGAGUGCCCAAUGGUAGAGACGCUAACGGAUGGACUCCUGCAGCAGCUCCUUACCCUUGAGGGAAUAUAUAUCGGAGGUUGUCCGGACUUGGAGAGAGCCUUGGCGAGCGCAUUCUCAAGAGGAGGAGCAUACUGGCAUUUGGUUGAAGCAAACUCACAUAGAGGCAUAUCAACAACGUCUAAUGGAAUUCGGCUCGAGCAAAGUGGAGAGAUGGCUGCUGCUCACGCUGAUGAGGCCAUCAACCCAUGCCCUAGAUGCCUUUGUGAAUGCGCGCAAUGUUGCACAGCCUGCCUUUUCUGUACCCUGUGCAUGCUCUGUUAA